rnacentral:misc_RNA from 1 species
AAGUCGUAACAAGGUUUCCGUAGGUGAACCUGCGGAAGGAUCAUUCACAAUAAGAGUGUUUAUGGCACUCUUCAAAAAAUCCAUACCCACCUUGUGUGCAAUGUAAAAAGAGAGAGUGUGUAAAGAAGUCUUGACGAUGCAAGUCGUUUAUAGGCUUUUUUCUGCUUUCUUCUUUUCAAUUUUAAUAUACACUUUUCUAUAAUACGAUUGUCUGAAAUUGUUAGAGAAUUGACUAAAUUCUAAAACAUAACUUUCAACAACGGAUCUCUUGGCUCUC